UCUGCCUUGUAGUCUGCCGAGUGUUGCUUCUGUUUGGGUGAGGGCUUUGGGUUGCUGCUGAGGGUUGCUGAGGGUUUUGGGGACUUGCGUGGGCCGUUGAUCUUCUUGGGGUCUUCCCAUGGGAUGUCGGGACGUCCAAGUAGUUGAAGAGGGCUGCUGGGUGUCUUGAGCUUGCCAUUUCAAGCUGUGGAACAAAUUACACGUCGUAAGAUCAUGUUUUGUUUUCUUGAUAUUUUCGUGUGCAGACCAUACAUUUGCCAGGUAUCGGGUGAGUUGCAGAAAGCUUCACUACAUCUUCAAGCGCGCUUGUCCAUGCCAUGAUUAUAGAGAUAGAGUUCAUGCUUUUUUAAAUUUUUAGCUUACAACUUUCGAAGUCCUCCCUGGGAAUUGAUGUUGCGUCUAGCAGCAUCAUUAUUUCUUCCUCUUCUCCUCUCUCUAUCAUGAGGGGUUCUGCUGGUGGAGCUUGAUGGACUGGUGGUGUCUGGUGUGAUGUGGGUGCUUGCGCAGGUGGCAGCGGUUCUGGAGGUUGCCGGGCUUGUCCCUGAGGUGUCACAUACAAGUCGUAGAAAUUCCGACUUAGUGCCUCAGGUUCUAGCUCUUGUUGGGAUUCUACUGGGACUGGUGAGGAAGAGGCUAGUGGUAGUGGAGAGAUUGGUCUGGUUGGGGAAGGAGAUCUGGAUGGGCAGAUUGAGCAUGUUGAGCAUGUUGAGCAGGAUGAGUGAGAAUUUCCCUAGGGCUUCUGCGAUUUUCUGCCUCCUUUGGGCCUCGUCCACAAAGGGUUUUCGGAUAGCUGAGGAGGGUUGUGGAUGGGGAGGUUGUUGAGGCUGUGGGAUAAGAGAGUUCCGGGUUCUCUUGGGGAGAGGAUCGAGGACAGGACCGUGCCUGUAGUUCAAAUGCCAGCCUCUGCGUUUUGCUCGCACUGGGGCGACAACAGCUAUUGGGGGGUUCAUUUCGUGUUCCUCAGAGGCCCCUCUCUCAGCUUCCCUUGCGGGGACGUUUUCGUCUGGAAUAAUUCUGACGCCACUCUCAUUGCCACUAUUUGAUCUCCCUCUUUUUGAGGGGCGAUCGCUCUCGCUAUCGGAGGAUGAUGGCCGCCUUGAUGGGUUCAUUUUCGAAAAAUGUUCGAUAUUUCGCGCACCACAAUUCUAUUUUAAGUUUCUAUUAUUAUUAGUACACUAUCACUAUAUUUAGGAUUCAAUUUUUAUGCACUAAUAAUUGUCUUUUUGAAUACAUUAUUACAGGCUUAAUGAAAAUGAUAGGGCACAAAGGGAGAGAAAGGCGUAUGGGAUGUCAACAACCACUAGUGGAAAGUGUGCCUAGACGCCGGUGACAGGGCGCCAGGGAAACAGAGUGGCGGUCGUAAAAGAUCGCCCCUGAUUUUCUAAGGGACCAUUUUCAUUGGUCCGGUUGAAAGGAAAAUUCGGUGAGUUGCUCCAACGUCUCGGCUGCAUCCUGGAGGAAAGUUAAGAAAAUAGAAGGGCUCAAUAAAUGUUAGGAGUCAACGAUGCUCUCUGUAGUAGUUUCUGCCCUUGUCUGAUGGUCUGCUCCAAGGAGUGGACUUCUUGAAAAUGAUUACUUGAGACUGGAGGUGAAUAGUGAAUUCUGCAAUGUGUAGGAAAAUGCGUUUAGUGAAUAAGCCAUGUAAAUAUGUGGGUAAUGUUGAAUUAUUAUUCAUUUUCUUGUACACGGAUUAAUGCUCUUCUGGCUCGAUAU